GCCCGCCUAGCAACACCCACAAACAACGUCACGACGCAACGUGGUUAAACAGUACGUUUAUUAAAGUAACUGGGUGAACGACAUCGGAGCGGACUGCAAAUCGCAACGCUACUUUCUCGAGUGCAGAUACUCUUCGAGACGGCUAAACAACGUGUCCAACUCGCUGAGACCUUUCCGCGUGCCGUUAUCCGAUUUCCUUUCCGCCUCCUGAGACAGCCGACUAAUCACGGACUUAUCUCCGCAACCUAACAGAGGCUGGGAGCCCGACAAAAGUAAAACAGCGUGCUAUGAACACGUUGUUACCUCUGCGCGGACAGCGCCGCCACAGAGACACUUACGCAUUGCCGCAUGUCUUUGUAGAUGGAUUCUAGCGUCGAGCGCAUACUAUGCAAUUCCGUCUUAAGUCCAGGAUAGACGUGGUCGCCUGCGGGGAACACGAUCUCCAGAUACCGCCUCAACAACCAGUCCAUGACGCUGCAUCCCCAACAGCCUUUGACCACCGUACCGUCGAGCCACACGGAGUAGUCGUCCUCACGUUGCUACAAGAGGAAAACUACGUCACCCGACACGCGGAAAAGAAAGACCGUCGCAAUAAACCGUACCUACGUGACCUACCAACGUAGGUUUUACUCGAUGAAAGGUGACGCGGAGAUCUUGCAAUCUGGUCGCGUAAUCCUCCGGACGACACUGCGGCUUUGUAUUCUUUAUCAUCGUCGUCGUCGUCGUCGUCGCCGCCGGCUUCGCCUCCUCGGAAGCGCCUAGAAAAAAGACGAUCAGGACCAGAGAGGAAGAGACCAUCACCGACAGCAUCGCCGCAGCAUGCCGCCCCAAUCCGCCGCCCAACUUUCUCUUGUAGAUACCACUCGUAGACUGUCAGCCUCGCGAGGAGACACCGCGGACCGGGGAAACGGAUAAGUUUACGAACAGAAAUCUCAAGAGAAAGACGCUGACCCGGCAAGUACCGUCACGGAGACACGGUGGUUUUUAUUGAAUUUCCAGUGUAUCGAGCCACCGUGAUGCAGGUACGGUGGUUUUAUGUGAAGUGCCGCUAUCUAUAGGCGAUGUGUUCCCUGACGGUGUGUGUUUUUUGGGGAUAGACAACGUGGUUCUUGUACGUGGUUUUUACCCUGCUCAAUAAAGUCACGUUUUCCUUACAC
rnacentral:sRNA from 1 species